UACGGGGGGGGCAAGCGUUGUUCGGAAUUACUGGGCGUAAAGGGCUCGUAGGCGGCCAACUAAGUCGGAUGUGAAAUCCCCAAGCUUAACUUGGGAACUGCAUCCGAUACUGGAUGGCUUGAAUCCGGGAGAGGGAUGCAGAAUUCCAGGUGUAGCGGUGAAAUGCGUAGAUAUCUGGAGGAAUACCGGUGGCGAAGGCGGCAUCCUGGACCGGCAUUGACGCUGAGGCGCGAAAGCUAGGGUAGCAAACGGG
rnacentral:rRNA from 1 species